rnacentral:lncRNA from 1 species
UAAUCAUCUAGUAUUGCACUUCUCAUCUCUCUUGUGGAUCUCCUUAAUGGCAUAAGUUUUUGAGGGUGUGAAGUUUGUGCUUCAAGAAUAGUUUCCUAAAUAAGAACGGGAGAUACUAUGACAUUGUCUUGAUUUGGAGUUGCUUCUUAAACAAUAGUAGGUAUAAGAACCUGAUCCUGAUCAUUGUCAAUAGCACAUAAGG